UAUUACGCAUUGUGAUUUUCG
ensembl:piRNA 21ur-1228 ncRNA